rnacentral:rRNA from 1 species
GUCUACGGCCAUGCUACCCUGAAUAAGCCCGAUCCUGUCUGAUCUCAGAAGCUAAGCACGGUCGGGCCUGUUUAGUACUUGGAUGGGAGACCACCUAGGAAGACCAGGUGCUAUAGGCA